ensembl:lncRNA
AUGCUGGGACAGUGCUAUACCCAGCACAAUCAAGCCACAUUUAUUUCCCUACAAACAGGACUUGCAGUUUCCAAACCUGAUAUAAUCUUCCAACUGGAACAAGGGAAGGAGUUGUGGAUGCUGAAGAGAAAAGUGCUAAGAAGCACACCUCCAGCCCAGAAAACUAGGUCUGAGAACAAAAUGGCAAUUCCAAACAAGGAUAUUUCUGAAGAAAAGUCAUCCCAUGGAGACAAAAUGGCAAGUCUUGAUAGGAGUAAUACUUGGUAUUCUAAUCCAAUUGGAGAACCUGGUGUAAAUGAUGGCAAGUUAGAGACAAAACCCAAAAGCAAGACACAUUUGAAGAAUAUAACCAUCACUCACAGGAAAAUGCUAGCUGUGCAAAGAGGCCACAUACAUAAGAAAGUUGCUGAGAAAUUUCAGUCUAAAAUCCAUUCUUAUAAAAAAAAAGAUAUCCUUCAGGAGAAAAAUCCCAUAAAUACAAUUCACCUAGAAAGAUCUUCAAACAGAAUUCACAUCUAAUUAAACAUAAGGAGAUUUAUUCAGCAGAAAAGCUUCAUCAAUGCCUUCAAUGUGGGAGAGACUUCAGCAAUAACACACACCUCGAAAACCAUCAGAGAACCCAUUCCAUAUAAAUGAGAAGCCAUAUAAAUGUAGUGAAUGUGGGAAGGCCUUUAGUUAUGCUUCCUCCCUCACAAAACAUCAUAGAAUACAUACAGGAGAAAAGCCCUAUGUAUGUAAAGAAUGUGGGAAAGCUUUCAGUGAGAGCUCAAACCUCAUUCAACAUAGGAAAAUUCAUACUGUAGAAAAACUCUAUAAAUGUAAGGAAUGUGGAAAAGCUUUCAACAAGAAUUCAUCCCUUACUCAACAUCUCAGAAUUCAUACUGGAGAGAGGCCCUACAAAUGUAAGGAAUGUGGGAAAGCAUUCAGUGAAUACUCAAAUCUGAUUCAAUAUAAGAAAAUUCAUACUGGAGAAAAACUCUAUAAAAUGUAAUGAAUGUGGGAAAGCUUUCAAUAAAAAUUCAGCCCUUACUCA